AGCUUUGCGCAGUGGCAGUAUCGUAGCCAAUGACGUUUAUCCAAGGCGGGAUUAAUGCUAAUUGAAAACUUAAAAAAAAAAAAAAGAUAGGGGUCCAAAAUAAUAGGGUUUUCAAUAUUUGAUUUAUACCUAGGAAG
rnacentral:snRNA from 1 species